CCAUCACUGAAUUAAAAAUUUAAUUAGUCCAGCACCAAAGCACAGUGAGUAGCUUGCAAGUCACUGAGGUGAUCUCAGGUCUAAGGGAUACUUAUACCUCUAUCCCAUCAGAGACAUUCUCGAUAGCAGAAUGCUCUAAAGUUGGUCAUGUUUAAUGAUGAUGUACCCUUAUAUCUCACCUGUAUAUCAUAUCAAUGUCUCCACACUCUUUGGUUAAGAGGACAACCAAUCCAUAUGGCCUACAGC
rnacentral:lncRNA from 1 species